UGAAUACGAGACGCUAAGGCGUCGAAGUAGUGUAUGUCAUACUUCCAAGAAAAGCUUGCACUGUCAUAAGUAAAAAAUGCCUGUACCAUAACCGACACAGGUGGGUGGGUAGAGUAUACUAAGGGGCGCGAGAUAACUCUCUCUAAGGAACUCGGCAAAAUAACUCCGUAACUUCGGGAGAAGGAGUACCUUAUUCUAUAAGGUUGCAAUAACAAGAUCCAAGCAACUGUUUAUCAAAAACACAGGUCUCCGCUAAGUCGUAAGACGAUGUAUGGAGGCUGACGCCUGCCCAGUGCCAGAAGGUUAAAGAAGUCGGUUAGCAUUAGCGAAGCUGGUAACUGAAGCCCUGGUGAACGGCGGCCGUAACGAUAACGGUCCUAAGGUAGCGAAAUUCCUUGUCGGGUAAGUUCCGACCCGCACGAAAGGCGUAAUGAUUUGGAUACUGUCUCGGAGAUGGGCUCGGUGAAAUAGACUUGUCUGUGAAGAUGCGGACUACCUGCACCAGGACAGAAAGACCCUAUGAAGCUUUACUGUAACUUGAAAUUGAAAUUGGACUUUAUUCGCGCAGUAUAGGUGGGAGGUGUUGAUUAUAAUCUUGCGGGAUUAUUGGAGCCAUCAGUGAGAUACCACUCUUGUAAUGUUAGAUUUCUAACUUUGAAUCAUUAUCUGGUCAAAGGACAGUUUCAGGCGGGCAGUUUGACUGGGGCGGUCGCCUCCCAAACGGUAACGGAGGCGUACAAAGGUUUCCUCUGAACGGGUAGAAAUCGUAUCUAGAGUGUAAAGGCAUAAGGAAGCUUGACUGUGAGACCUACAAGUCGAACAGGGACGAAAGUCGGUCUUAGUGAUCUGACGGUACUGAGUGGAAAGGCCGUCACUCAACGGAUAAAAGUUACUCUAGGAUAACAGGCUGAUCUCCCCCAAGAGUUCACAUCGACGGGGAGGUUUGGCACCUUGAUGUCGGCUCAUCGCAUCCUGGGGCGGUAGUACGUCCCAAGGGUUGGGCUGUUCGCCCAUGAAAGCGGUACGCGAGCUGGGUUCAGAACGUCGUGAGACAGUUCGGUCCAUAUCCGGUGUAGGCGUUAGAAUAUUGAGAGGAGCCUUCUUUAGUACGAGAGGACCGAGAAGGACAUACCUCUGGUGUACCAGUUAUCGUGCCAACGGUAAACGCUGGGUAGCUAUGUAUGGAGUGGAUAACCGCUGAAAGCAUCUAAGUGGGAAGCCCACCUCAAGAUAAGUAUUCUC
rnacentral:rRNA from 1 species